rnacentral:rRNA from 1 species
UACGUAGGCAGCAAGCGUUGUUCGGAGUUACUGGGCGUAAAGGGUGUGUAGGCGGUUCCCUAAGUUUGGUGUGAGAUCUCCCGGCUCAACUGGGAGGGUGCGCCGAAAACUGGGGAGCUAGAGUGCGGGAUGGGUAAGUGGAAUUCCUGGUGUAGCGGUGAAAUGCGUAGAUAUCAGGAGGAACACCUGUGGUGUAGACGGCUUACUGGACCGCAACUGACGCUGAGGCGCGAAAGCUAGGGGAGCAAACAGG